CUACUCCGGGAAGGGGUGAGGCAGCACGUGGAAUGGAGGGCCUCUGGAGUGUGGAGUGUCGGAGUUUGGAGGUGAAACUGAUCCUGCAUCCCAGAGGGAAUUUUGGAAGAGGUUUCCGUGGAGGUGAAAACCAAGUGCCUGAAUGGUUUUAUUGCUGAAAGUCCUGAGUCUGGGAAACCUCUCAGUCUUGGAGUUUCCCUCAGAAUGAAAAACAAGGGGAAGCUGACUGGCAGAUGGAGAAACUGAGGCCUGGAGAAUAAAAUAAGCUGCCCAAGGUCGCACAGCUGGUCCUUGCUCAGGUCAGAGAGAUGCUGUUUCUGAUCACCAUUUAAAAUGGCAACCCCUAGGGCUUCCCUGGUGGCGCAGUGGUUGAGAGUCCGCCUGCCGAUGCAGGGGACGUGGGUUCGUGCCCCGGUCCGGGAAGAUCCCACAUGCCGUGGAGCGGCUGGGCCUGUGAGCCAUGGCCGCUGAGCCUGCGCGUCCAGAGCCUGUGCUCCGCAACGGGAGAGGCCAC